rnacentral:lncRNA from 1 species
AAGUAAGUCCAUUUAAAAGUGAUCAAGCAAACAUCAGGAACUUACUUCUCCCCCAUCCUUCCAUUUAAUGCCAACUGUCCUUAUUCACUUUUAUCUUGCUUAACCAGUUUAGUUCUGGGUGGAAUUGGAGGUCUACAGAAGUUGGACUGGAGCGUGGUUCUGGUGUUUGCUCGGGAUAGUUGGGUGGGAUGGGAAAGGAGAUGAGCCCUCUAUGCCUCUCUCUAACUUCCUCUAUUCUCCAGCCCCUUAGCCUCUCUAGCUCUGUAGUAUAGCCUUAACCUAUUCUGCCUGCAAC